rnacentral:tRNA from 1 species
GCAGGUGUGAUGUAACUAGCAACAUGGGGCUCUUGUAAAGCCUUCUUGCGAGUGCAAAUCUCGCCACCUGCU